rnacentral:rRNA from 1 species
GUGAACGCUGGCGGUAGGCCUAACCCAUGCAAGUCGAACGGCAGCACAGUAAGAGCUUGCUCUUACGGGUGGCGAGUGGCGGACGGGUGAGGAAUACAUCGGAAUCUACUUUUUCGUGGGGGAUAACGUAGGGAAACUUACGCUAAUGCCGCAUACGACCUACGGGUGAAAGCAGGGGAUCUUCGGACCUUGCGCGAUUGAAUGAGCCGAUGUCGGAUUAGCUAGUUGGCGGGGUAAAGGCCCACCAAGGCGACGAUCCGUAGCUGGUCUGAGAGGAUGAUCAGCCACACUGGAACUGAGACACGGUCCAGACUCCUACGGGAGGCAGCAGUGGGGAAUAUUGGACAAUGGGCGCAAGCCUGAUCCAGCCAUACCGCGUGGGUGAAGAAGGCCUUCGGGUUGUAAAGCCCUUUUGUUGGGAAAGAAAAGCAGCAGGUUAAUACCCCGCUGUUCUGACGGUACCCAAAGAAUAAGCACCGGCUAACUUCGUG